GUGUUUAAGGUUGAGAAGCCUUGUUUUAUGGUCCUAGUCAUCAGCUUUAUCAUAAUACAGCCUUGGGAGGCUUAUUUGGAUAAUCUCUCAACACUUACGUAUAUUUUGUAUUCUUAUUUCUUUUCUUUUUUUUUGACCAACCAUGUUACCAGGGUUUAGAAGCUGUGUCUGAGACUGUGCCCCUUUGAAGAUAUUAACAUCUUAAAGGGAUUUCCGAAGGGAUAAUGCGAGAAAACUAUUUAUGAUAUCAUCCACUCCAGAUGAACUGCCAAUUCUUUUAGGAGUUGUUAGUGGAAACAGUUAUAAAUUGCUGUCUUGUAUCUUGGGAAGAUCCCCUGGAGGAGGGCAAGGCAAUCCACUUCAGUCAUCUUGCCUGGAGAAUCCAAUAGACAGGAACCUAGCAGUCUACACUCCAUAGCAUUGCAAAGAGUUGGGUGGGACUGAAGCAACUUUGCGCACACGCAUCUAUGCAAUCAGCUGUAAUG
ensembl:lncRNA